GACGAACGCUGGCGGCGUGCUUAACACAUGCAAGUCGAACGAAGAGCGAUGGAAGCUUGCUUCUAUCAAUCUUAGUGGCGAACGGGUGAGUAACGCGUAAUCAACCUGCCCUUCAGAGGGGGACAACAGUUGGAAACGACUGCUAAUACCGCAUACGAUCUAAUCUCGGCAUCGAGGAUAGAUGAAAGGUGGCCUCUACAUGUAAGCUAUCACUGAAGGAGGGGAUUGCGUCUGGUUAGCUAGUUGGAGGGGGAACGGCCGACCAAGGCGAUGAUCAGUAGGCGGUCUGAGAGGGUGAACGGCCACAUUGGGACUGGGACACGGCCCAGACUCCUACGGGAGGCAGCAGUGGGGAAUCUUCCGCAAUGGACGAAAGUCUGACGGAGCAACGCCGCGUGAGUGAUGACGGCCUUCGGGUUGUAAAGCUCUGUUAAUCGGGACGAAAGGCCUUCUUGCGAAUAGGGAGAAGGAUUGACGGUACCGGAAGAGAAAGCCACGGCUAACUACGUG
rnacentral:rRNA from 1 species